UUAAAGUAGUAAGGGCGCAGGGUGGAUGCCUUGGCACUAAGAGCCGAUGAAAGACGUGAUAAGCUGCGAAAAGCUUCGGGGAGGAGCACAUAUCCAAUGAUCCGGAGAUAUCUGAAUGGGGAAACCCGGCAGAGGAAACCUCUGUCAGCGUGCAGUGAAUACAUAGCUGUACGUGGGGAACCCGGGGAACUGAAACAUCUAAGUACCCGGAGGAAGAGAAAGAAAAUUUAUCGAUUUCCAAAGUAGCGGCGAGCGAAAUGGAAAGAGCCCAAACCGUGAUGCGUGCAUCGCGGGGUUCGGACUGCGUUGUGGCAGACGUAAGAUAGGAGAACGGACUGGGAAGUCCGGCCGGAGAGAGUGAAAGCCUCGUAUCCGAAAUCCCAAGUCGCCUAGCAGGAUCCAGAGUAGGACGAGACACGAGAAACCUUGUCUGAACGAGCGGGGACCACCCCGUAAGGCUAAAUACUUCUUAGUGACCGAUAGCGCAUAGUACUGUGAAGGAAAGGUGAAAAGUACCCCGGGAGGGGAGUGAAAGAGAACCUGAAACCCUGUGUCUACAAGCUGUGGGACCUCUUUAUAUGAGGGACUGCGUACUUUUUGUAGAACGGUCCGGCGAGUUGUGCGUACUGGCGAGGUUAAGGACUUAAGGUCUGGAGCCGAAGUGAAAGCAAGCGUUAAUAGCGCGUCAAGUCAGUGAGUGCAGACCCGAAACCGGGUGACCUAUCCAUGUCCAGGUUGAAGCUUCCGUAAGAGGAAGUGGAGGACCGAACCCACAUCCGUUGAAAAGGGUGGGGAUGAGGUGUGGAUAGCGGAGAAAUUCCAAUCGAACCCGGAGAUAGCUGGUUCUCCUCGAAAUAGCUUUAGGGCUAGCCUCAUGAGAGUCUUAUGGAGGUAGAGCACUGAAUUGCCUAGGGGGCGUCAAAGCUUACCAAAGCAUAUCAAACUCCGAAUGCCAUCAAGAUGAUUCAUGGGAGUCAGACCAUACGAGAUAAGUUGGAUGGUCAAAAGGGAAAGAGCCCAGACCUACAGCUAAGGUCCCAAAGUACGUGUUAAGUGGAAAAGGAUGUGGGGAUUCUAAGACAACUAGGACGUUGGCUUAGAAGCAGCCAUUCAUUGAAAGAGUGCGUAAUAGCUCACUAGUCGAGAGUCCCUGCGCCGAAAAUGUCCGGGGCUGAAACACGACACCGAAGCUUAGGAAUGUGUAAACAUUGGUAGAGGAGCAUUGCUGGCGGGAUGAAGCCAUACCGUAAGGAGUGGUGGACUGCCAGGAAGAGAGAAUGCCGGAAUGAGUAGCGAGAUGAAGGUGAGAAUCCUUCAGGCCGAAUAUCUAAGGUUUCCAGAGUAAAGCUGAUCUGCUCUGGGUAAGUCGGGACCUAAGGCGAGGUCGAAAGACGUAGUCGAUGGAUAACAGGUUGAAAUUCCUGUACCGCAUAUAAACAGAACUGUGGGGACACAGACAGGGAAUGGAAUCCGGGAAUGGAAAUCCCGGUGCAAGCGAGGUAGGAGUGCUGUUGGCAAAUCCGCAGCACGAUCUGAAGACGUGAUGCGUACCGAACAUAAGUAGGGAAGUCCAGGCCCCUGGCUGUCAAGAAAAGCCGCUAUUGUUUUAUAUGUGCCCGUACCGCAAACCGACACAGGUGGAUGAGGAGAGAAUCCUAAGGCCGACGGGAGAAGUAUUGUUAAGGAACUCGGCAAAAUGACUCCGUAACUUCGGGAGAAGGAGUGCCAUGAGAGUGGCCGCAGAGAAAUGGCCCAAGCAACUGUUUAGCAAAAACACAGGUCUAUGCAAAACCGCAAGGUGAAGUAUAUGGGCUGACGCCUGCCCGGUGCUGGAAGGUUAAGGGGAGAGGUUAGCGCAAGCGAAGCUUUGAACUUAAGCCCCAGUAAACGGCGGCCGUAACUAUAACGGUCCUAAGGUAGCGAAAUUCCUUGUCGGGUAAGUUCCGACCC
rnacentral:rRNA from 1 species